AUGAACGCUGGCGGCGUGCCUCAUACAUGCAAGUCGAGCGAACGGACGAGAAGCUUGCUUCUCUGAUGUUAGCGGCGGACGGGUGAGUAACACGUGGAUAACCUACCUAUAAGACUGGGAUAACUUCGGGAAACCGGAGCUAAUACCGGAUAAUAUUUUGAACCGCAUGGUUCAAAAGUGAAAGACGGUCUUGCUGUCACUUAUAGAUGGAUCCGCGCUGCAUUAGCUAGUUGGUAAGGUAACGGCUUACCAAGGCAACGAUGCAUAGCCGACCUGAGAGGGUGAUCGGCCACACUGGAACUGAGACACGGUCCAGACUCCUACGGGAGGCAGCAGUAGGGAAUCUUCCGCAAUGGGCGAAAGCCUGACGGAGCAACGCCGCGUGAGUGAUGAAGGUCUUCGGAUCGUAAAACUCCGUUAUUAGGGAAGAACAUAUGUGUAAGUAACUGUGCACAUCUUGACGGUACCUAAUCAGAAAGCCACGGCUAACUACGUG
rnacentral:rRNA from 1 species